rnacentral:rRNA from 1 species
CUACGGGGGGCAGCAGCUAAGAAUCUUCCGCAAUGGGGGCAACCCUGACGGAGCGACGCCGCGUGUGCGAAGAAUGUCGAGAGAUUGUAAAGCACUUUUAUGUAGGAAGAAUAAGGAUGUCAGGAAAUGGGCAUUUGAUGACGUUACUACAUGAAUAAGCUCCGGCCAAUUACGUGCCAGCAGCCGCGGUAACACGUAAGGAGCGAGCGUGUGUUCGGAAUUAUUGGGCGUAAAGGGCUUGUAGGCGGCCAUGUAAGUCUGGAGUAAAAGACCGCAGCUUAACUGCGGGAAUGCUUCGGAAACUGUAUGGCUGGAAUCAGUGAGGGGAAACUGGAAUUCCUAGUGUAGGGGUGAAAUCUGUUGAUAUUAGGAAGAACACCUGAGGCGAAGGCGAGUUUCUGGCACAUGAUUGACGCUGAUAAGCGAAAGCGUAGGUAGCGAACAGGAUUAGAUACCCUCGUAGUC